rnacentral:rRNA from 1 species
CGAGCAGGUGCGAAAGCAGGUCAUAGUGAUCCGGUGGUUCUGAAUGGAAGGGCCAUCGCUCAACGGAUAAAAGGUACUCCGGGGAUAACAGGCUGAUACCGCCCAAGAGUUCAUAUCGACGGCGGUGUUUGGCACCUCGAUGUCGGCUCAUCACAUCCUGGGGCUGAAGUAGGUCCCAAGGGUAUGGCUGUUCGCCAUUUAAAGUGGUACGCGAGCUGGGUUUAGAACGUCGUGAGACAGUUCGGUCCCUAUCUGCCGUGGGCGCUGGAGAAUUGAGGGGGGCUGCUCCUAGUACGAGAGGACCGGAGUGGACGCAUCACUGGUGUUCGGGUUGUCAUGCCAAUGGCACUGCCCGGUAGCUAAAUGCGGAAGAGAUAAGUGCUGAAAGCAUCUAAGCACGAAACUUGCCCCGAGAUGAGUUCUCCCUGAGACUU